rnacentral:rRNA from 1 species
AUUGAACGCUGGCGGCAGGCCUAACACAUGCAAGUCGAGCGAGCGGCGGACGGGGGAGUAAUGUAUGGGGACUGCCCGAUAGAGGGGGAUAACUACUGGAAACGGUGGCUAAUACCGCAUACUAUCGGAUAAUCCAUAUGGGAUUAGCUAGUUGGUGAGGUAAUGGCUCACCAAGGCGACGAUCCCCAGCUGGUCUGAGAGGAUGCUCAGCCGCCCUGGGACUGAGACACGGCCCAGACGCCUACGGAGGCAGCAUUGGGGAAUAUUGCAAAAUUGGCGCAAGCCUGAUGCAGCCAUGCCGCGUGUAUGAAGAGGGCCCUAGGGUUGUAAAGUACUUUCAGUCGGGAGGCGUUACCGACAGAAGAAGCACCGGCUAACUCCGUGCCAGCAGCCGCGGUAAUUC